UAAGUAUACCGGAAGGUGUGCUUGGAACCGAAAUGUAGUAUAAUAAUACUCCUUGCUUACACCAAGGCGAUACUCGUGAAACCCAAGUCAUUUCGAGCCAAAAAUCUUAGCCCAACCUAACAACUUAGUUAAAUACUAUAUAACCAUAAACCCCCUAAAACAUUUUUACAGUUUAGUAUAGGCGAUCAAAAAACUUCUAGGAGCUACCAGUACCGCAAGGGAAAAGUGAAAUAGUAAUGAAACAAUACUUAAGCAUAAAAAAGUAGAGACCUAGCCUCGUACCUUUUGCAUCAUGGUCUAACAAGUCUUCCCAAGCAAAAUGAUUUACAGUUUGACCCCCCGAAACUAAGCGAGCUACUUCAAGGCAGCUUUUAGAGCCCACCCGUCUCUGUGGCAAAAGAGUGGGAAGACCUUCAAGUAGCGGUGACAGACCUAACGAGCUUAGUGAUAGCUGGUUGCUUAAAAAAUGGAUCUCAGUCCACCCUUAAAUUGCCUUAACACUCCAUAGUUUCUUUAAAAUUUAAGAGCCAUUCAAAUAAGGUACAGCUUAUUUGAACCAGGAUACAACCUCAACUACAGGGUAAUACAUUUUUCACCGUGCAUAAGUAGGCCUAAAAGCAGCCACCUAAAUAAAAGCGUCACAGCUUAAACACACUACAACCUCAAUUCCAAAAUACUCAUAAAACCCUUUAACAAUAUUAAGCAAUUCUAUAGUUGUAUAGAAAAACUUAUGUUAGAACUAGUAACAAGAAAUCAACCUUCUCUUAUGUACUCGUGUAAAUCAGAGCGGACCCCCCACUGAUAAUUAACGUCUCUGAAUUUACAGUAGUAACCCCACCCAAGAAAACACUACCAAAAUAAACGUUAAUCUAACACCAGAGUACCCCAAGAAAGAUUUAAAGAAAAGGAAGGAACUCGGCAAAUUUUAACCUCGCCUGUUUACCAAAAACAUCGCCUCUUGAUUUAUAUAAGAGGUCCAGCCUGCCCAGUGACUCUGUUCAACGGCCGCGGUAUCCUGACCGUGCGAAGGUAGCGUAAUCACUUGUUCUUUAAAUAAGGACUAGUAUGAACGGCCCCACGAGGGUUAUACUGUCUCCCUUUUUUAAUCAGUGAAACUAAUCUCCCCGUGAAGAAGCGGGGAUAUUUUUAUAAGACGAGAAGACCCCAUGGAGCUUUAGACAAACAGCAUGUGUUAACUACACUUUACCCCACCCCCAAGUCAAACACUUUGACUGCUAGUUUUCAGUUGGGGCGACUGCGGAGAACAAAAAAUCCUCCGCGCUGAAAGAACCAUUAUUCUUAACUUAAAGCCACACCUUAAAGUACUAAUAACUUGACACCUAUUGACCCAAUAAAAUUGAUCAACGAACCUAGUUACCCUGGGGAUAACAGCGCAAUCCAUUUCAAGAGCCCCUAUCGACAAAUGGGUUUACGACCUCGAUGUUGGAUCAGGGUGUCCAAGUGGUGCAGCCGCUACUAAAGGUUCGUUUGUUCAACGAUUAAAACCCU
rnacentral:rRNA from 1 species